UACGUAGGGUGCGAGCGUUGUCCGGAAUUACUGGGCGUAAAGAGCUCGUAGGUGGUUUGUCACGUUGUUCGUGAAAACCGGGGGCUUAACCCUCGGCGUGCGGGCGAUACGGGCAGACUUGAGUACUGCAGGGGAGACUGGAAUUCCUGGUGUAGCGGUGGAAUACGCAGAUAUCAGGAGGAACACCGGUGGCGAAGGCGGGUCUCUGGGCAGUAACUGACGCUGAGGAGCGAAAGCGUGGGGAGCGAACAGG
rnacentral:rRNA from 1 species